rnacentral:lncRNA from 1 species
UGAUCUUAACUGUUGAUCAGAACAGGUAGGAGGCCAGCUGGAAGUCCGUUGAGCAGGUGGUAGGAAGCAAUCCGAACAGAUGAUCCACGGAGGGGGGGGUUGUACCUGCAGGUGCUCCGAUGCCAAAGUCAGACAAGGAAUAUAGAGAGCAAAGAGGUACUUAGAGAGAGGUUAGAGAGAGAGAGAGUAAUUGCCAUAAUGAAUA